rnacentral:rRNA from 1 species
AGCAGUCGCCACGGGAAUACGAAGGGGGCUAGCGUUGUUCGGAAUUACUGGGCGUAAAGGGCGCGUAGGCGGCCUGUUUAGUCAGAAGUGAAAGCCCCGGGCUCAACCUGGGAAUAGCUUUUGAUACUGGGGAUCUUGAGUCCGGAAGAGGUGAGUAGAACUGCGAGUGUAGAGGUGAAAUUCGUAGAUAUUCGCAAGAACACCGGUGGCGAAGGCGGCUCACUGGUCCGGAACUGACGCUGAGGCACGACAGCGUGGGGAGCAAACAGGAUUAGAGACCCCUGUAGUCCCUGUCUCUUAUAC